AUUGAACGCUGGCGGCAUGCCUUACACAUGCAAGUCGAACGGUAACAGGUCUUCGGAUGCUGACGAGUGGCGAACGGGUGAGUAAUACAUCGGAACGUGCCCGAGAGUGGGGGAUAACGAAGCGAAAGCUUCGCUAAUACCGCAUACGAUCUCAGGAUGAAAGCAGGGGACCGCAAGGCCUUGCGCUCACGGAGCGGCCGAUGGCAGAUUAGGUAGUUGGUGGGAUAAAAGCUUACCAAGCCGACGAUCUGUAGCUGGUCUGAGAGGACGACCAGCCACACUGGGACUGAGACACGGCCCAGACUCCUACGGGAGGCAGCAGUGGGGAAUUUUGGACAAUGGGCGCAAGCCUGAUCCAGCCAUGCCGCGUGCAGGAUGAAGGCCUUCGGGUUGUAAACUGCUUUUGUACGGAACGAAAAGACUCUGGUUAAUACCUGGGGUCCAUGACGGUACCGUAAGAAUAAGCACCGGCUAACUACGUGCCAGCCGCCGCCGUAA
rnacentral:rRNA from 1 species